UAAAAGGACCCUCUAGGGUCCACCAACCGUUUUAAUCAUUCAAUC
rfam:Diplodia seriata DS_831_scaffold_v01_179, whole genome shotgun sequence.